CAUCAUGGACAUAAAAACCCCUGUUCAACUCCUUGUGUUCCUAUUUCUCUGCCUUUCAGGCACCCAAGGUGACAUUCAGAUGACCCAAUCUCCAUCCUUUCUGUUUGCAUCUCUGGGAGACAAAGUCACCAUCACUUGCAGGGCAAGUCAGGACAUUAACGGUUAUUUAAGCUGGUUCCAGCAGACACCUGGGAAAGCUCCUAAACGUCUGAUCUACUGGGCAUCCAACUUGGAUGCUGGCAUCCCAUCAAGGUUUAGUGGUAGUGGGUCUGGGACAGAUUAUACUUUCACCAUCAGCAGCCUGGAAUCUGAAGACUUUGGAACUUAUUACUGUUUACAGACUAAUAAUUAUCCUCCCACGGUGAUACAAGUCAUAACAUAA